rnacentral:rRNA from 1 species
UACAGAGGUGGCAAGCGUUGUUCGGAAUUACUGGGCGUAAAGGGCGCGUAGGCGGUCUUGUAAGUCCUGUGUGAAAUCCCUCGGCUUAACUGAGGAACUGCACGGGAUACUGCGAGACUUGAGAUCGGGAGAGGGAAGCGGAAUUCCGGGUGUAGCGGUGAAAUGCGUAGAUAUCUGGAGGAACACCGGUGGCGAAGGCGGCAUCCUGGACCGAGAUUGACGCUGAUGCGCGAAAGCUAGGGUAGCAAACGGG